GAUGAACGCUGGCGGCGUGCUUAACACAUGCAAGUCGAACGGGAAACCUUUUAAUGCAGCUUCUGCAGAUUUGGCUGGUUUCUAGUGGCGGACGGGUGAGUAACGCGUGGGUAACCUGCCUUAUACAGGGGGAUAACAUUCAGAAAUGACUGCUAAUACCGCAUAAGCGCACAGGACCGCAUGUUCCGGUGUGAAAAACUCCGUUGGUAUAUGAUGGACCCGCGUUGGAUUAGCUUGUUGGGAGGGUAAGGGCGCCCCAAGGCGCAGAUCCAUAGCCGGCCAGAGAGAGUGGACGGCGACAGUGGGAGGGAGACACGGUGCAGAAUCCUACGGGAGGGAGCAGAGGGGGAUACUGCAAAAUGGGGGAAACGCUGAUGGAGCGACGCCGCGUGAAGGAAGAAGUAGCUCGGGAAGUAAAGUUCUAUAAGCAGGGAAGGUAGUGACGGUACCUGACGAAGAAGCCCCGGCUAACUACGUG
rnacentral:rRNA from 1 species